rnacentral:lncRNA from 1 species
UUGUAAGUUUUAGUGCAAGAUAGGUGCACAGUUUGCACCUAAUGCACCAUAGUCUAAGAAACCAUUUUGGACGCACUAUUUGGUACUCCUGGGUGAAGAGGCUCAAGUGAAAGCUUGGUUCGGUCAGUUUGGAGAUAGUGCUAAUCCUUAUGCAAGAUAGGCGCACGAUUUACAUGGAACAUGUCAUAUGCUCAUAAAUCAAUUUGGAUGCACCC